rnacentral:rRNA from 1 species
CCUACGGGAGGCAGCAGUGAGGAAUAUUGGUCAAUGGACGCAAGCCUGAACCAGCCAUGCCGCGUGCAGGAAGACGGCUCUAUGAGUUGUAACCUGCUUUUGUACAGGGGUAAACGCAGGUACGCGUAGCUUUCUGAAAGUAUCGUACGAAUAAGGAUCGGCUAACUCCGUGCCAGCAGCCGCGGUAAUACGGAGGAUCCAAGCGUUAUCCGGAUUUAUUGGGGUUAAAGGGUGCGUAGACGGGUUGUUAAGUUAGAUGUGAAAGCUCGAGGCUCAACUUCAGAAUUGCAUUUGAUACUGUUCGGCUAGAGUGUAGUUGAGGUAGGCGGAAUGUGUGGUGUAGCGGUGAAAUGCUUAGAUAUCAUGAAGAACACCGAUUGCGAAGGCAGCUUACUAAACUACUACUGACGUUGAGGCACGAAAGCGUGGGGAGCAAACAGGAUUAGAUACCCCUGUAGUC